UACAGAGGUCUCAAGCGUUGUUCGGAUUCAUUGGGCGUAAAGGGUGCGUAGGCGGCGCGGUAAGUCGGGUGUGAAAAUCUCGGGCUUAACUCCGAAACUGCAUUCGAUACUGCCGUGCUUGAGGACUGGAGAGGAGACUGGAAUUUACGGUGUAGCGGUGAAAUGCGUAGAUAUCGUAAGGAAGACCAGUGGCGAAGGCGGGUCUCUGGACAGUUC
rnacentral:rRNA from 1 species